AUGUAUUAAUUAAUUUAAACAUAAAUAUAUGCAAUAAAUUCAUAAUUUAUAACUUAUAGUACCUUAUGAGCUAUAUGUUAAUUUUUUGCUUAUGUUUUUUAAAUUAAUUUUUAAGUUAAACAUAUAUAUAUAUAUAACCCAUUCAGUAUUUUUAUUUUACCAUUUGCGUUUUUAUAUAUACACUAAAGUAAAUUUUUUUUUUUAAAAAAAUUAAAACGCAGAAAAUCAUUAAAUUCUGCUACAUAUGUAUUUAAAAUAUACAUAUACAAACGCUAUGAGAAACUAAAAAAAAAAAAAAAAAAAAAAAAAAAAAAUAGUUCUUUUUUUUUUUUUUUUACUAUUUUAUUUUAUUUUUUUUAAUAUUGCAUUUUUCCAGAUAUAUAAAAAAAUAAUUUACAGAACAAUAGUUAAACAAACAUAUAUAUAUAUAUAUAUAUAUAUAUUAAAAAACUAAUUAACAAAUAAUAUUCAGUAGUGUCUGACCAAGUAAAAAAUAUUAUUAAGCAAUAUUCGGCUAAUUAAAAAAAUAUUAUUAAGUGAUAUUAGACUAAUUAAAAAAUAUUAUCAAGCGCUAUAAAUAUAUUGUUUUGAUUUCAUUUUAGUAUAUUGCCUACAUAUGUACAUAUACAUAUAUACAUACCUUUUUUUUUAAACACACAUAUAUUCCCAUGUUGAUCCCUGAAAAUUAUAUUUUUUUAAUGACAAUACUGAUAAAAAUAACAUAUUUAAUAAAAACAACACAAUGAAUAACAAUAAUACGAAUAACUCAAAUAUGUGGAAUAUCCCCAACAAUAAUUUAAAUAAUAACAAUUUUUUUAGUAAUACUUUACCAAACCAAAAUGACCUGAACAAAAAUAAUUGUAACAUUUUUAAUAAUUCCUUAACUAAUGACAAUAACUUAAACAAAACUGGCAAUAAUAUUUUUUCUAACACGUUACCCAACCAAAAUGAUUUCAACAAAAAAUAGUGGUAGCCUUUUCGGUGGUGCUUUAUCUGGACAAUCCAACUUAAACAAAAAUGGUACGAACAAUUUUUUCAAUAGUACUUUACCCAGUCAAAGUGACAUGAACAAAAACAAUUGCAACCUUUUUAGUAAUUCAUUAACUAACCAAAACAAUUUAAACAAAACAGGUGGUAGUCUUUUUGCAAACAAUAUAACUAAUCAAAACAACCUGAAUAAAGAUAGUGGUAGCCUUUUUAAUAAUAGUAUUACAUAUCAAACAAAUAUGAUGAAACCUAACAAUUUUUUUGGAAACAAUAUAAACAAUACUCAAAAUGAUAUGAACAAAAAUAAUACCUCUCUUUUUUCCAAUACUAUGAACACACAAAAUAAUUUAAAUAAAAAUAAUUCUUUUUUUUUUAAUAAUCCAAAUGAUGCUAACAAAAGUGGAAAUAGUCUUUUUGGUAAUAUAGCUUCGAAUACUUCAACACAGUCUACAACACCUAAUGCUUUCAACCCGAAUUUAUUCAGUGCAGCCAAAAAGGAUAUUUAUCCAGGAUUCACACGGACAUUAGGUAGUAAUAAUUCGACAAACACUGGUACUAAUAUGUUCAAACAAAGUACAUUAGGAAGUUCCAUAGCGUUAGGAAGUCAACUAAAUGAAGAUAGAAGUGCAGAUGGUGGUGGUUUAUUUUCAAAAGAACAAUUGGAGGCAGCCAAACAAAUUUUUGCUAAUUCAUCAGCUACAUCUACAUCACUAUCAGGUUUUGGAAAUAACACAAGUACAAUGAAUAAUAAUAACAGUACUUUAAAUAACAACAAUAACAAUAAUAAUAAUAUAAACAAAUUAACAUCGUUUAGUGGUGGUUUUUCAAAUGCAAGUGCUUUUGCAAAAAAUAAUAUAAACCCAUUUCAAAGUAUGGCAUUAAAAACAAAUACACAAGAUAAACUACCAACAUCAAAAGUACCAUCAUCAUCUUCAUCUCUUUUAAAUAGUUCAAUGUCGAAAUCUUUUCUUACAAGUGGUAAUAAUGAAAAUAAAUUGAAUCCUUUUGGUAUGCCUAGUAUGAACACUUUGGGUUCUUCUUCAGGUAAUAAAUUUGGAACUACAUUUGAUGGGUUCGGUAAUAAUUUAAAGCCAUUAGGUGGCACUUCUACCACGACUACUAAUAAUACUACUACAAGUAGUAACAGUCUUUUUUCAUUACAAAAUAAUAUAAAUACAACAAAUGCUUUUUCCAAUAAUGAUAAUAGUAAUAAAACUGGAUUUACAAAUUUUACUGGAUCUUUUAGUGCAUUCGCAAAUAAUAAAACAACUACAAGUGAUUUAUUUAAACCAAGUAAUAACAUUAACUCUUCUUUUUUAUCAUCUUCUGUAAAACCUACAAAUACUGGAAGUAUAUUUUCUCUUGGUACUGGCGCUUUUGGAGUAAACAAUAAUACUAAAAAUAAUGAAAACAGUUCUUUGUUUGGUAACACUAGUCCUAGUAUAACUACAUCCAUAAAUACAACCGAAAAAAACAACAAUAAUAAUAGCACUGCUAGUGGUAGUGUACUUCCGAAUUUGUCACUAUUCAAUACUAACAAACUAAUAAAUGAAAAUGCUCUAACAGAUAGUACAAAUAAAACCAACGAAGAUAAAGAAAAAACUUUGGAAAGUACAACAGCCAGCAAAACAGACAAAAGUCCAAUUACAAAUGAAAACAAAAAUGAAAAAGAGAAAUUGCCACUCGACCAAAUGAAAAUUACACAAUCUGAACAACAAAUAGAUAAAACCAAUAUUCAAGAUUCUAAACCAAUAGGAACUGAGAAAACGCAAGUACAAACUAUAACCAAUGAAACAGUAGCAAAAGAAGAUACAAAACUACAAGAAGAGACACUCAAAAGCGGUACAGAACAGUUUACAGAUAAAAAUCUCGAACGCACUGAAAAGGAAAAACCAAUAGAGCAAGAACAGGCUAAACAAGAUGAACAAUCCAAAUCGAAAGAAUUGAAUAAAGAACCAAACGAUAGUGUUAAAGAAACGGCCGUUCCUCUUCCACCACUACCCCCGUUUUUCAAAACAGAAGAUGAAAAAAAAACAGAACAAAGCGAAAACAAAGCUUUUAAUGAAGCUUUAACUAAUAAUAAAACAGCACCAUCAUCGUCAACGACAAGCAUCUUCGAUUUCAAACAACCAUUAAAUGAAAAUAAUAUAACAAAUCAAAUAACUCCAUCAAAAGAAACAACCGGUGUAACGCAAAAAGAAAAGGAUAAAGAAUCAAGUAACGAAACACAAAAAAAAUCAUCCUUAUUUAAUUUAAAAUUAGUUUCUAAUAUAUUCAGUAAGCAAGCAAAAGACAAUAACGAUAAGGAAAACAAAAACGAUUCAAAUAAAACUAAUGAUCGUAGUACUGAUAAUACUCAAGAAAAGUCACCAAAAGAAAAAGAUUUAAGUGCUGAUGAAAAAACUACAGACUUAUUUACCAAAAAUAGUGAAAAUAAAAUAAAUAAUUUUUUAUUUAAAAGUGCACAAAAUAAUCAAACUGAAUCUACUAUAAAAACAAAUAAUGAAAUUGAAAAAUCGAAAAUUCAGGAUAACCAAAAAAAAGAUAUUAACAAUGAAAACAUUACUACUACUCCAUUAAAUUUUAAUUUAGAUCCUAGCAACCUUUUUGGUAAUAUUAAUCAAAAUAAUGACAAAAAAAAUAAUGAUAAUAACGCAAAACCAACCAAAUCUGUUUUGUUUUCUGACAAUGUUAUGUUUAAUCAAAAGCCAUCAACGACAACAACAAAUGUAUUUAAUCAAAACAAUGUAUCAAUACCAGUAGAUGGUAAAAAAGAAACCAAUUUGUUUUCUUCAAAUUUUAAAAACUUUUCAUUAUUUGACUCCUCUGUUAAUAAUAACAAUAAUAAUGAAAGUUUGAGUAAUGAAGGGUUAAAAGAAAAAACUAAUACCGUUAAACAAUUACCGAGCAACAUAUCUCCAAAUUAUAAUGAUACCAAAACUGAUAAUCAAGACGUAAAAGAAGUACAAAAUAUGAUAAACUUUAUUACGUUAGAGGAUAGAAAAAAAAAUAUAUAUUUAGAUAAUACCCUUCAAACGGAUGAAAAAAACAAAAAAAAAGGAAUUAAUUUAGUAUUCGGUGGUAAUGCAAAUAAUAAAAAUAACCAAAACAAUACUGACCCCUCACGACAUACAUUAAAUGCUCAGUUAAAAGAAUCAAAAGGUACUCUUCGAACGAAUGAUAUUACAAAAGAUAUGGACUUUAAACAAUUCGAUUUUUGGUCAGAAAAAAAAAAUAUACAAAAUAAUAUGCAACAACAACAACAAGAACAGCUAGAACAAGAAAAAAAAGAAGUAGAAAAAAGUAUAAAAGAAAAUGAAUCGUUUUUUAAAGAAAACUUAGAUCAAGAAAUGGUUAUUGAAGUGAUUAAUAAUUUAUCUUCAUUUGUUAAAAAUAAAAUUAAUUUUAUGAAUUAUUGUUCUAAUGAAAUUUUAGAUACAUAUAAUAAACUGGCUCAUUAUGAAAAAAUGUAUACAUUAAUAUCAGAAGAUCAAAUAAACAUUGAAAAAAAACAAGAAGCAUUAGAAAAAAGAUUAAGAUAUAUACAAAGUGAACAAUGUGAUAUGUUAUCCUUAUUAAAUGAGUUAGAUAAUGAAAACUCUGUAGAAUUUUUAAAAAUCAUAAAUUCAAAAAAUUCAAAUAAAAAUGAUUCUAUACAUAAUAAAAAUCUUUCCAUAGACAUAGAUAACUUUGAAAAAUUAACUUCUAAAAUGCAAAAUUUGGAACAACUAAUGAACUCUUUACCAGAAACUAACAAAGAUGGAAUAAUAAAUAAUUUAAUGGAUAGGUGUUAUACAAAUGAAUCAAAUUGUGAUAACAUAGAAAAACAAUUAAAAAUUUAUUAUAAUGAGUUAACCAAUAUGAAAUGAUUAAUGGAAAUAAUAAUAAGUUGGGAAAUGCAUUUUCUGUUUGUUUUUUUUUUUUUUAUUACGUGCUUGUGUGUUAAAAUAAUUUUCUUUUUAUAAUUUUUUUUUAUUUGUGAAUAGUGACUUUUUUUUUUUAUAUGUAUUAUGUGGUUACAGCGGUUAGACCAAAUAUGUGUAUACAUACUUACAUACACAUAUUUAUUAUGUGAAAAAUGCUUAGGAAUAAAAAUGUUAGUACAUAAUAUAUUUAUCA
rnacentral:lncRNA from 1 species